CUACGUAGGUGGCAAGCGUUGUCCGGAAUUAUUGGGCGUAAAGCGCGCGCAGGCGGUCCUUUAAGUCUGAUGUGAAAGCCCACGGCUCAACCGUGGAGGGUCAUUGGAAACUGGGGGACUUGAGUGCAGAAGAGGAAAGUGGAAUUCCAAGUGUAGCGGUGAAAUGCGUAGAGAUUUGGAGGAACACCAGUGGCGAAGGCGACUUUCUGGUCUGUAACUGACGCUGAGGCGCGAAAGCGUGGGGAGCAAACAGGAUUAGAUACCCGGGUAGUCCACGCCGUAAACGAUGAGUGCUAAGUGUUAGGGGGUUUCCGCCCCUUAGUGCUGCAGCUAACGCAUUAAGCACUCCGCCUGGGGAGUACGGUCGCAAGACUGAAACUCAAAUGAAUUGACGGGG
rnacentral:rRNA from 1 species